rnacentral:rRNA from 1 species
UUUAAUGGCUUUGUAUAUCCUAAAGGCACCAGAUCUCAUCUCAACUAGGAAGCUGAGAAGGAUCAGUCUUGGUUAUUACUUAGAUGGGAGACCACCAAUGAAUAUCAGAUGCUGUAGGCU